ensembl:lncRNA
GGGGGGAGAGGCUGAGAGCUGGGGCUGUGCAGCCUGGAGGAGGCCCAGCAGUGUGUAUCUACUCCUGAGCCAAGGCUGUGAAGAAGCCAGAGCUGGACUCUGUUCAGUGGCGCACAGUGAGAGGAUAAGAACACAAGCUGGAGCAUAGCAGGCUCCCCCUGAUCACUGUGCUUUGCAGGUGGUGGAGCACUGGCACAGGGACCUCAAGACUGUGAGGCCUCAUCUUUGGAGAUCUUCAGCAGCUGCUGGGACAUGGCCCUGGGCAUCCUGCUCCGGGUGGCCCAUAUGGAGCAGGGCUGGGCCUGAUGGACCCAAAGGUACCUUCCCACCUCUACCAUCCUCUGACUCUCCAAUACCAUUUCAGAAUUCUUUUUCAGCUGAGGAAGACCUCUGUGCCUCACACUGCCUGUGUUUCAUCCAGGUGCUGUUUUUAGCCUGCUUUUUUCAUGCACAGAGCUGGCACCAUCGGCCAAGAUUUUCAGCACAGUAAAACAGAAUCCUAUACCUCGAGCUUCAAAGAUGUCCAGCAGCAUGCACUGCCUUUCAGCAGGUAUUUCACUGCUCCUCCCAAAAGGAACAAUACCAUGUCAGAAUGUUCUGUGGCUAUAACCAACAGUGGGAUUUUUUUAAUGCGUAAAUCAGGGCUGUUAUAGCAGCUGAUGUUAGCAGGAUCUUCCUCUCUAAGAUCUUGCCUGUAAGUUAUAUGCUAUUAGGGGAAACCAUUUGCACCCUGACAUCUCUUGAACUUGCCAAACAUCCACAAGCCUAUUGCUAAUCUGCUCUCUGUAAUGAGAGCAUCAAUUCCUGGAGGUGAUAGUUGUCAGUAAAUCAAUCAGACAUACAGCCUGCUCUCCUGAUGUGUCGCUUGAGCAACUCGUUAACAAGAUCUGAAAGCACUGAGAUCCCACAGCUCAGAUGUUUCCCACCACUCAGCCACUCAGAAUAUUUUCUAUCAGGCCUGAGAUCUUACCCAGCCUGGCAAGACAGUGAACACACAUGUGAUGCUGCAUUAGGCUUACCUCUGGGACUGAGUUGUCUCAGUUGGUGGGCAGCAACCUGUAUGCAGAGGGAUCCGAGGAGCAGUCUUGGGACUUGGCAUAUUCAAGAGGCAGACUAUAAAUUGCUCAGCAGCCCUGACUCAACAAAGUCUCCUUGCCAAGCUAAAGUCUGCAUACCGAGGCAGUGCUCAAGGCCUUCCUGCCUCGGCCAGCUGUAACAGCUCCACUGAGGACUCGUGGACAACAUGCUCUCUCCCACAUGCUUUUCAUGUAUGCUUCUCAGAAAAAGGCUGCUCUGUUACACGGCCCCUUGGGACACUGCAAGUGGCCCAGAACAUCUCAGCUAGGAUGUUUUGGGGCACCUACAUUCAAGCUUCAAUCAAAAAACAAAAAUACACCAGCAACUCCUUCCUGCCCUCUUCCCUUUCAUCUCCCUCUCUACUCCGCCUACCAUGACUUCAAGGCUUCAAAUCAAAGCAAACACAGUGAUUGGACUGAUGAUACAGUUCUAAUCCCAUGGAGACAUGUUUCUGUUAGGUCUCAGAAGGACAGAGGCUAAACAGCAGCCACAUCUGUGCAGCUGAAGAUUUCUCCCACCCAGGGAAGUUCUGAGGGUUGCCAACAAUCUUGCUGGCCAUACACAGAGGGCCCCCCUGCCUGCAGGGGGAAAGGAGGAAGCGGAGGUGGCACAAUUAGUGUUCAUUGCAUGCAGAUGGCUCAUGGCUUUGUAGGAAACAUGGCCCAAGGGUGGCCAUGGGGUGCCAAGAAGGCAUGUAGCAACCACGAGACUCAAGAGGCUACAAACAACUCUUCAUUUGCUUCCUCCUCUAGCAAAGAAAAUUCUUUCAGGCUUUCUGUCUGCCUUCCUCAGGUACAGAGAAGUUUCUCCUCCGUAAAACUUUCUCCUCAGUUUCUUAUGGGCUUCUCCACCCUCUAAAACCAGAGCCACUGGAGAAUUUUUGUGAUAACGAUUUUGAAUAUGUUGAUUUUACCCUGUGAGAUGGAAGAAGUGUCCACCAGCCCUUUUAGCAUAGUCACAGAACAUGAAGCCCUAAGGGUCUAGCAAUCACUUCUUCACUUUGUGUACUUUGCUCUCUUAAAAGGAUGUGUUACCUGUGGUGCAGUAUGUGCAUGCUUUGUGGUAGCACAUAAUAACACCUAACAUAUGCAAGACAGAUAGAUACUGUAUAGUAAAUCCAUGGAAAUGCAGAGCAGAAUCUGGCUCUAAGACCUUCAUUUCUGGCUGAGAUGAGCAGCACUGUGAAGCUCACAGUCAAAUGUGACUUUCUGGAGACAUCUCAGCCCUUGCUCUUCAGAGGUUUAGUCUUUUACAGGGGCCACCACGAAGCUCAGAGUUAACUCCAGAUGUGGAUGUCCCCAGAGUUAAAGUACACUUAUGUUUUAGAGGACAGAACAGGAUAUCAUUCGGGUACCACCUUACAUCUGCUCUGAGGAUGAAAAGCUCAUCUUAAGUGUGUAAGGAGGGAUGAAUGUACAGAGGGGAGAAAAACUACAGUACUGAUGCGAGUUGUGAGGGGUUCACGUGACAGAAAAUAUCAGAAAUCUAGGUAUCCUAAGCUAAUCUUCUAGGUCUUGUCUGCACUCAGUGGAGUGCAGUAGAUAUCUCCAUGGGAACUGUAUCUCAUCCACUUCCUUCAGAAGGGAGUGUUAACUGGAAAAAGUAAGAUUUGCCUUGUGUAGGAAUUGAACUUCUAGAUUACAUAAAUCCCAUCCUAAGCAUCCAUCCCACUGAUGUGCAGCAAGACUGUGGUGAACAUUAAUACUGGGAGUGGAUGAGAAGGAGGAAAAAGGAACUGAAAAUCUUUUAUCAUGGAAUUUCUGUACCAACUUCCCUAAACAAUGGGGAAAUUAUUUAUUUACUUAUACGUUUGUUUGUUUGUUUGUUUUGAGGGAAAUGGUUCAAAAUAAAUCAUGUGCCCUGCUUGUUUGGAGCUAAAAAAUGGAGAAGGAGUUGAUUCUACUACAGCUGCUGGGUUUUUGUUUGUUCCUUCCAGCAAGGCUGGAAUUCGAAAUAAUCAUCAUCAAAAAAUAAUAUCAGGCAGAAAUUGACUAAAAAACAGCAGGACUUUUUCAUUCCUGGGCCAGUGUUGAAAACUAUGUUGGCUCUCCUCACUCAAAGCAAAGGAAAUCUGGUUUUGUUUAGAAUUAACUGCUUGUUUUACCUAUUUGUUUUUGCCUACUUAUGAUCCCUCUGACGUUUGCAGGAGGAAGGGCUCUGGCCUGGUUCAGGUGAAAGCUCUCUAAGAUGAAAAAAAUUCUCCUAGUCCCAAUAAGGGAAGUCAGAAAUCCUAACUUAGAAGCACCAGGGAGAGUGGACACUGGAAAUAUGCAAACUCAUUCACUGGAAAGCUACCAAUGUCUACAAGUGCUGAAAUGAAAACCUGACACAACAGAUCAGUCAGCACUUAGUACUGAAUAAAUCAGCAGGCCUCAGUGUUAAUCGCUGCAGCCAUCCAUGAACUCUCACAGAGUGUAGAAACACUGUCUGUUCUGCCUAGAACUUUUUUGGUUUGUUUUUUUUGGGGGGAGGGAUGAUGUUUACUCAUAUGGUGGGAGGAUCAUAUGCUGUAUUGUUUUCUGCCUGUCUUGAGUCUGAAGAAAUGUGAAGAGAAGCAGCAUAAUUGUUCAGAAAGCUGUUAGAAUAAGAAAAUGAAAAGAACAAAGGGAGAAGAUAUUGAGAAUCUGAACUCUCAUAAUGUCACAAGCAGGAAAAUUAACACAUGCAUCUCUAGGGUGAGCUGUUCUUCCCAAAAGGUUGGCUGUGACCAACCAGCCAUAGCAUAGGUUAUAAAACAUGCAGUAGGAUCUAAGAUUUUGGGGUGAGUAUAUGGUCAUACAUGUCAUCUGAUGGUUCUCCCAGUACUGCUCUGAGCAGAGCCAACACUACAAGAUCACAAAAACCCCCUCUAGUAGAGCAGGAUCCUGCUAUUGAUUCACAAUGUGGAAAAGGCCCUGUUUUAACUCUUGCACUUGUUUCAUACGGUGUGCUACUACAGAUGGGUUAUCCCAUUUCAUAUGUACUUCUUGCUUACACUUCCCUGAAUUUCUCCUCCAGCUUUUCAGUUUGCAUAUGGGAACACUAAUAAAAAUGAGUACUAUUAAAAUAAUCCACAAAUAUUAGUAAUUAAAGUAAGUAAUGAGUGAUGAUAAUGAGUAUUAUGAAAGCCAACAGAAUAUUCUUUUUGCCUCAGCUGAAGGCAAAGAGGAGCACCAUGUUGCUUUUUUUCAUCAGGCAUUACAACGCAGCAGGGAGCAGGCACAUGAGGACAAUUUUCAGUGGUCUUUUGGGUACAGUAAGUCACAGUGGGCUUUGAAUGCAGUGAGGAAAAUAAAAAAAUGCUUCGGUGGGCACAGCUGCUUUGUGUGGUGCUGUUGCAGUGCCAGAUCCCAGCUACCGGGUAAGGAUCUUCAGGUCUAUCCACGAGGCUGGAAAGCAAGAAAAGAUGCUCAUUAAAUAGGGAUUAUGGUUCUGUCAGCCUGUUUAAUUAGUCUGGUCUACUUGAAAAGCAGAUGAGCGGUUGGUUAUUUUCACAGCAUGUUUUCUGCCAGGCUGUAGUGAGGAAAUUAACUGAAACGAGGUCUAUGCUACGGGUAGGCACAGAGGGACCAGUAUGAGUCCUGGGACACUGAGGAGACAUGUGAGAGCUGUGGGGACAUGUAGGGCCAUGGCGAGCUGUGUAUGCUGAGAUGUGGGAGAUAUGGAGACACUGAGGGGGACAUUGAGGGGGACACCAAAGGGACAUGUGAGAGCUAGGUACACUGAGAGGCACCAAGGGGAUGCUGAAGGGACACAUAAGAGCCUCGAAGACAACAAGGGGGACACUGAGGGGGACAUUGGGGAGAUAUGUGAGAGCAAUGGAGACACUGAGCGGGACAAGGAGGGUGACACUGAGGAGACGUGAGAGCUAGGUACACUGAGGGGCACACCAAGGGAUGCUGAGGGGACAUAGGAGAGCUGUACAGACACCAAGGGGUGCGCUGAGGGGACAUGUGAGAGCCGUGGGGACGUGAAGGGGGUCUCCAAGGGGGACUUCAACGGCAACACGGAGGGGUUAUGUGUGAGCUCUAGAGACGCUGAGAGACGCGUGUGAAAGCGACGUAGGCACCAAAGAGAAUACUGAGGGAACUUGUGAGAGCCGUGGGAGCUCUGAGGGGGCUUUCAAGGGAGCCUCGGGACGCUGAGGCGACACAAGCACGUCGCUGGGGAGCGCGAAGGGGACGCGCGGAACCGCGGGCGCUGAGGAGAGC